rnacentral:rRNA from 1 species
CCUUAGUACGAGAGGACCGGGAUGGACGUACCUCUGGUGUACCAGUUGUUCUGCCAAGGGCAUGGCUGGGUAGCUAUGUACGGAAUGGAUAAGCGCUGAAAGCAUCUAAGCGCGAAGCCAACUUCAAGAUAAGAUUUCCCACCGCAAGGGUAAGACCCCAGAAAGACUAUCUGGUUGAUAGGUCGAAGGUGUAAGUGCAGCAAUGUAUUUAGCUUAUCGAUACUAAUAGGUCGAGGACUUGACCAAU